UACGGAGGGAGCUAGCGUUGUUCGGAUAUACUGGGCGUAAAGCGCACGUAGGCGGCGCCGUAAGUCAGGGGUGAAAUCCCGGAGUUCAACUCCGGAACUGCCCUUGAAACUGCAGUGCUAGAAUCCUGGAGAGGCGAGUGGAAUUCCGAGUGUAGAGGUGAAAUUCGUAGAUAUUAGGAAGAACACCGGUGGCGAAGGCGGCCCACUGGUCCGGUACUGACGCUGAGGUGCGAAAGCGUGGGGAGCAAACAGG
rnacentral:rRNA from 1 species